rnacentral:rRNA from 1 species
CCUACGGGAGGCAGCAGUGGGGAAUAUUGCACAAUGGGGGAAACCCUGAUGCAGCGACGCCGCGUGAGUGAAGAAGUAUCUCGGUACGUAAAGCUCUAUCAGCAGGGAAGAAAAUGACGGUCCCUGACUAAGAAGCCCCGGCUAACUACGUGCCAGAAGCCGCGGUAAUACGUAGGGGGCAAGCGUUAUCCGGAUUUACUGGGUGUAAAGGGAGCGUAGACGGCAGCACAAGUCUGGAGUUAAGUCCCUGGGCUUAACCCCGGAACUGCUUUGGAAACUGUGCGGCUGGAGUGCAGGAGGGGUAAGCGGAAUUCCGAUUGUAGCGGUGAAAUGCGUAGAUAUUAGGAGGAACACCGGUGGCGAAGGCGGCUUACUGGACUGUAACUGACGUUGAGGCUCGAAAGCGUGGGGAGCAAACAGGAUUAGAUACCCGAGUAGUC